CGACAUUCCUCCAGCGGCGAGGGAUAUGACGCUGAAAACAUAACGGAGGGGGAAGUCAUUUUUAUUUUAUGCGAGAGCUAUCCUCUAUAAACAUGUCGUCUUGUCAGGUCUUACCAGCGUGUUGUCCCAUCUCCCUGCAUGCUCAAGUUCUGUUUCCUAGUUUCCCUGAUUCUGGCCAUUCUGCUUGCCCUGACUCCAAGCCCGCCUACUGUUCUGUACCUUCUUGACUAUGCCCUGGAUUAUGGACCUCUGCCUGCCUUAGACCUGUCUUUUGCCUGCCCCCUGUUUGGGUCAAUAAACAUCUGUGACUCUA